rnacentral:rRNA from 1 species
UACGUAGGGUGCGAGCGUUAAUCGGAAUUACUGGGCGUAAAGCGUGCGCAGGCGGUCUGUUAAGACCGAUGUGAAAUCCCCGGGCUUAACCUGGGAACUGCAUUGGUGACUGGCAGGCUUUUGAGUGUGGCAGAGGGAGGUAGAAUUCCACGUGUAGCAGUGAAAUGCGUAGAGAUGUGGAGGAAUACCGAUGGCGAAGGCAGCCUCCUGGGCCAACACUGACGCUCAUGCACGAAAGCGUGGGGAGCAAACAGG